UAAUACGUAGGGUGCGAGCGUUAAUCGGAAUUACUGGGCGUAAAGCGUGCGCAGGCGGUUUGUUAAGUCAGAUGUGAAAGCCCCGGGCUUAACCUGGGAACUGCGUUUGAGACUGGCAAGCUAGAGUCUGUCAGAGGGGGGUAGAAUUCCACGUGUAGCAGUGAAAUGCGUAGAGAUGUGGAGGAAUACCGAUGGCGAAGGCAGCCCCCUGGGAUAAGACUGACGCUCAUGCACGAAAGCGUGGGGAGCAAACAGGA
rnacentral:rRNA from 1 species